UCACGGCUGAACUAUGCAUCUCCUUCCCGUGGCCUCCAGAGCUCCCCGGGUGUCAAAGUCGUUCAAGGAAAAUCCGCCCACAGCCAUUUCAAACAAACACGGAGGAAAAACACUGCCCACCUCUCUCCUUCAGGAAGCCCUUGAGAUACCGCAGGAGAACAGGACGAAUCCCCGCGGGAUCUGGAGAAGCUGUGCAUCAGGAGCAGGACCACAACAAGAUUUUAUGUUCCCAUCACUGUGCUAGGGCCAUGCCUGGAGGCAUCUGGGAGGAAAAACAAAUCUGUAUGCUCUGGGCUCCUACUCUGGGAAGAAAGAAGGUGUUUACAGCCCAUCCAAACACACUGAAGAUCAGAGCUUUAACUCCUUACCCAUUUUCCUGUGCUCUCCUGGUGAGAUGCCAGCAUUCCCUCAUGCCUUUCAGUAAAGAAAUUCCAUUUAUACACCCUGAUAGUAGUUUUCCAUGUUUUUCUUCUCCACAACAGGAAAAACACCAGGAGCUAGAACUGUUUAAAGAUUUACCAGAGUGCGUGGGAAUAGCAAAUACUUCAAGAAAAUGAUGUCAGAAAUGCCUGAGCUGGGUGAAGAUGUGAUGGGGUGAAAUUCUCCAGCCUAUGUUAGGGAAAAGGUCAGGAGAGAGGAUUAUCAGCAUUAAAUUAUUUGUGAUGAGAGUCAGGACAACAGUCUGCUUGUGAGAGUGAAUUCACCCCCUAGUUAUGGUUCAGCUCCUGCAAAUGCAGCUUCAGGAGAGCCCAGUAAAUAUAAAUCCCUUUAAUCCCUUGGAAAAUGUAAAAUUUGCCCUGAUAAAAACAUCUCAUAGGUGGUGUCACUUCUCCACAUACUUUCAGUUCUAAAAAGUGACUUUUUUUCAUUCCAAACAUUAUAUUCCAUGUUAUUAUCCUUCUAUUUUAUUACAAAUAGAUUCCAAACCUCCACUCCAGUGUGUUGCUACAUGAUCAGGUGACACUCCAUCGAAUUUGGGAUCCUCUCCCCCCAUUUUUGGAGCUGUGAAUGAGCCACAAGCCUCUCCUCUGCCCUUCAUGGGUGAGGCAAGACUACUCAGCAGCCAGGAAAGCAAACAGAUGGAAACUAGAUAAUUGAACUGUGGCUUGAAAAUUGACAUUUAGUUGAACUAAGAGAGAAAAAAAACCAAAAAACCAAACACGACAGCAACAACAACAAAACCCCACAACAUCCCAGAACCUUAGAAGGAUCACAGGGUACCCUUAAACCUCAGAAACCAAGUACAGGUGGAUGCUGACACACAGAGGUGUGAGGAAAGGAUAAGAAAAUCCAGGCUGAGUGCUAUUGAAGUGCUCUGGCCAGAGCCCCUCGUGUGCAAUUCACCCAUGGAAAUUGCUCCUGCAUCCACCCUUGAUCCUUCUGUUUCUCUGCAAGCCCUGCAGACCUGCUCUGUGUGCUAAGGGCUGAAUUCCUGUUUUUUCCAGUGGAUAGGAAGCACUAAAUGUCCCUGUGAGCUUGUCCUGCCUUUCCACCCGGAAUGCGGCAGGGAGGUGAACCCAGGGAGACCUUGGGCACAAUCCUGGGGAGUCCCAAAAGGCAGGGAAGGCUUCUGCCUUCUUCUCAUCCUUCUGCACCUCCCUCCAUCCCUCCGUCCUCCUCGGCCUGCCCUGCUCCGAUGAAUUAUUCAGGCACGCAGCAGUUGCUAUAGGGCGCUGUCAUGAAUAACAACAGCGGCUAUUUUUAUCCCGAACUCCUGUUACCUUGCGGCCAGGAGCGGUGGGGCCCUGCCAGGUCCUGGCAGGAGGAAAACCACAGCCAUCCACAACAUCUCCGUGGGCUGGGAUUCGUCCUGACCACCCAAAUGUGGGUGACUUCUUGUGCGAUCCGCAUAGAUGUACCUGAAUCCCACCCUGGUACCCGCUCUGUUUUGGACUCACAGGGUGCUUUGCACCCAUAUUUUACCUUUUUCCACCCAUAUUUUGUCUGCAGUGGAGCACACAGACUGUCCAUUGAUGGAUUUAAUAUUCUGCCUGCUGCAGAGGGAGAAAAAGCAUCUCAGAGGUGAAAUCUCCUAUCGAGUUCUGGCAAUUUAUAUGGGAUAAAUCAUAUUUCUUUUGGGGACUUGCACAGAUUCCUCCAGCCAGUUUAGAUCCUCAAUGUGACCACUUUAAAAAAAAA